rnacentral:rRNA from 1 species
GAUGAACGCUGGCGGCGUGCUUAACACAUGCAAGUCGAACGGAAAGGCUCCUGCUUGCAGGGGUACUCGAGUGGCGAACGGGUGAGUAACACGUGGGUGAUCUGCCCUGCACUUCGGGAUAAGCCUGGGAAACUGGGUCUAAUACCGGAUAGGACGAUGGUUUGGAUGCCAUUGUGGAAAGUUUUUCGGUGUGGGAUGAGCUCGCGGCCUAUCAGCUUGUUGGUGGGGUAAUGGCCUACCAAGGCGUGGACGGGUAGCCGGCCUGAGAGGGGGUACGGCCACAUUGGGACUGAGAUACGGCCCAGACUCCUCCGGGAGGCAGCGGUGGGGAAUAUUGCACAAUGGGCGCAAGCCUGAUGCAGCGACGCCGCGUGGGGGAUGACGGCCUUCGGGUUGUAAACUCCUUUCGCUAGGGACGAAGCGCAAGUGACGGUACCUGGAGAAGAAGCACCGGCUAACUACGG